rnacentral:lncRNA from 1 species
AGAGAUCAAGUGGAAUUUAUUAAAAUUGUUCUGAGCAUCAGAAAGGGUGUAGAAAAAUAUUUGGGAUUGAUCGCGGGAUGAAAAUUCACCGGAAUGGUCGAAAUCAGGCGAUUGGACCAAGAAGCUCGAGAUGUCUCUAUGCAUUUGACCAGGACGUUCUGUCUAUCACAUCAGCAGCUGAGUGUCAACACAAGGAGGAGGUGUAGACGUGCAUGGAAGCUGCACAUGCAGCUUGACAUGUAGAAGAACGAGGUGGAUCGACCAAGCACGAGGUGUCUCCGCGCAUGGAACCGAAGCAUGCGGCCAGCCAUGUGUGUGAUGCUGUGGCGCCUUGCAUGAGUUCCAGUCAUGCAGCCUGACAUCUGGG